GACGAACGCUGGCGGCGUGCCUAAUACAUGCAAGUAGAACGCUGAAGGAGGAGCUUGCUUCUCUGGAUGAGUUGCGAACGGGUGAGUAACGCGUAGGUAACCUGCCUGGUAGCGGGGGAUAACUAUUGGAAACGAUAGCUAAUACCGCAUAAUAGUAGAUGUUGCAUGACAUUUGCUUAAAAGGUGCAAUUGCAUCACUACCAGAUGGACCUGCGUUGUAUUAGCUAGUUGGUGGGGUAACGGCUCACCAAGGCGACGAUACAUAGCCGACCUGAGAGGGUGAGGGGCCACACUGGGACUGAGACACGGCCCAGAAUCCUACGGGAGGGAGCAGUAGGGAAGCUUCGGCAAUGGAAGGAAGUCUGACCGAGCAACGCCGCGUGAGUGAAGAAGGUUUUCGGAUCGUAAAGCUCUGUUGUAAGAGAAGAACGAGUGUGAGAGUGGAAAGUUCACACUGUGACGGUAUCUUACCAGAAAGGGACGGCUAACUACGUG
rnacentral:rRNA from 1 species